AACCAGCACCUCAAGUGGUCAGGAUGAUUAUUGGGCCUAAAGCAUCCGUAGCCGGCUCUGUAAGUUUUCGGUUAAAUCUGUACGCUUAACGUACAGGCUGCCGGGAAUACUGCAGAGCUAGGUAGUGGGAGAGGUAGACGGUACUCGGUAGGAAGGGGUAAAAUCCUUUGAUCUAUUGAUGACCACCUGUGGCGAAGGCGGUCUACCAGAACACGUACGACGGUGAGGGAUGAAAGCUGGGGGAGCAAACCGGAUUAGAUACCCGGGUAGUCCCAGCUGUAAACUAUGCAAACUCAGUGAUGCAUUGGCUUGUGGCCAAUGCAGUGCUGCAGGGAAGCCGUUAAGUUUGCCGCCUGGGAAGUACGUACGCAGGUAUGAAACUUAAAGGAAUUGGCGGGGGAGCACCACAAGGGGUGAAGCCUGCGGUUCAAUUGGAGUCAACGCCAGAAAUCUUACCCGGAGAGACAGCAGAAUGAAGGUCAAGCUGAAGACUUUACCAGACAAGCUGAGAGGUGGUGCAUGGCCGUCGCCAGCUCGUGCCGUGAGAUGUCCUGUUAAGUCAGGUAACGAGCGAGAUCCCUGCCUCUAGUUGCCACCAUUACUCUCAGGAGUAGUGGGGCGAAUUAGCGGGACCGCCGCAGUUAAUGCGGAGGAAGGAAGGGGCCACGGCAGGUCAGUAUGCCCCGAAACUCUGGGGCCACACGCGGGCUGCAAUGGUAACGACAAUGGGUUUCGAAUUCGAAAGGAUGAGGUAAUCCUCAAACGUUACCACAGUUAUGACUGAGGGCUGCAACUCGCCCUCACGAAUAUGGAAUCCCUAGUAACUGCGUGUCACUAUCGCGCGGUGAAUACGUCCCUGCUCAA
rnacentral:rRNA from 1 species